ensembl:lncRNA
GUAAGUGAUUGGGCUGACAGGGUGAAUGUGACUAGCAGGUCUACAGAAUGAACUGAUUAGGUGGAGUGAGGGGUGGAAAUGACAGGGAAGGACUGACAGUAAUUAUUAACUUAACUACAUUUAUUUAGGAAUGUGCAUAAUAAACAUCAACAUGACACUUAUCUUGGUGUCCGUCCAGCCACCACAGCACCCCGACCCCUGGCUCAGAAAAAAAUCAUCUCCGCCACCAAGCCUGAUUCAUGUCAAAAUGUGGAUGAGACAGAGGAAACAGUAUUCUUCCUCUCUGUCUCACUGGCUCCCUCUAUCUCACUGCAUCUAUCUAUCUUCGCCACAGGCUACUCUUUGUUAUAGGGUGCACAAUUAAAAACUUUGCCUCAACACUGAUUAAAGGUUUAUUUAAUCCAACCUCUUUCUUUGUGGGGGAAGUUACAACGGGGGGUGGCAGUGGCGCAAACGGUACAGCCGACGAGGGUGUGGUGCAAAACAAAUUGAUAUAAAAAAAAGACAACCAGCCUCUUGUCUGUCAGAAGUUCGCGAGUUUGACAUAUGUGAUUUAGACUGUUUGUUCUGUCCACUGAAUGUUAUGUUUUAGCAUUUGAAGAUGCAUUUUGGUUAAAACUGGUAACCGAUUGUGGCAGCCAAAAUGUUGCGAUUUCAUAUGAAAAUAGAUGGAUUAGGUGUCCGUCACACGACUGGAUGGGGAAUAAUUUCAAUCUCGGCUCUUUAAGAGAUUAGAAUCAAUUAUAUCAGAACUAAACGUUUCUUUAUUUUAAGAAAAGGAAAAAAGAACAUAUCUUUUCGCCCAAACCAGGGUCCACCGUUUUGGUAUCCCUAGUAUAACUUGUAUACAGUGCUGUAGUGGUAAAAUUAGAGGUGGGUAAACUUUUGUGAUCAUACAGACCUCGACGCGAUGCGAAGCAACGCAACACAAAGCGUCGCGACUCUGUAAGGUUGUCCUGGCUAUAUUGCAUUAUGUUAUCAGUAAAAGUCAUAUACAAUCAAUGACAGUGAAUAAAUGUGUUAGUAGUUUGUAGUUUAUUAAAUUUAAGAAAACAGUAAAGAAAAGUAUGUCAACACAACACAACAAGACAAUUGCAGAUUAAGAACUAUCUACAUAUGGAGUCUCCCUUUUACAGUAGUGCCCAGAGGGCCUCCUUGUCCUCCACGUCAGGUCCUGCCUUGCACAGAGGAGCCGGGGUUCAUGGCUCCUCUGUGCUUCUCCUCUCUCUAUUCGACCUGGUGUUUCUCCUCUCCCUGUGCUCUCUGCAUCAUUACCUGUCCUAUCACUGCCUGAAAAAAUUUGUUGAAUUUAAGAGUUGUGGGGCUGAGAACACCAGUUAAGCAGCCUGUCAAUAACACUGACAACAUAAGUUAAAGGAACACUCAUGUACUACCUAUGUCAUCGUAAAUAGCCUAUACAGCAUGUUUUUUUUUCACAUUGAGAACUGACUUGUUUUCUAAUCUAUGUUUACAGUCUAUUUCGCUUACAGGCUACUCUACACCUUUCAUGACUUCAAAUAAUUGAUUAAGCAUAUAGGCCUAUUCAGUGAAGCAACAGUUUUGCUCCCCGCUCACGUUUUUUAUGCGAGAGCAGGCUGUCAUCAUGAAAGUAAAAAACUAAUAUAUUUGUCCUUGACCGCGAAAAUGGAAGAUUCUAUAGCUAAACUAAAACAUUUCACUUAGCAUUUCUCUUAGCUAUGUCUAACUGUCUUGCACAUAAUCUGUCGACAAUUUUUCAAUGAAUUAGCCUAAUCUGCAGCAAUAUGCAUGAGGACAAUUACUCAUUUUAUUAGGCCUAUUUAGAUGGGACCGGGAAGGCUGGCUUGUUACCUGCAUCAUCGUAUUUGAAAGCACGUUAUUAAUAGAGUUUGUCCCUGUCUUAAUGCGAUGUUGUGCGAACCAAGACAACGUUUGAAAACGUGAAUUGAUCUUCUUCAGUCUUACUUUGUACUUGAGGCCUUUUGCGGGCAUCUGUGGGAGUGGGAGCACUCGAUGGUCUCUUCAAAUAUCGCCUGAUAUCCAUUGCGGUAAUCCAUUCCGAACAGGUAGGCAGGCAGGCUAAUCCAGUGGUCCCCAACCACCGGACCGGUACCGGUCCGUGGGCUGUUUGGUACCGGGCCGCACCACAGAAAGCUUAUAUAUUUUAUUUUGAAAAUUGACCGGAUUUUCUCCUAAUCAUGUGCGCGCGUCACUGGCGUUUUUCUUGUCCUUUUACCGUGCACGACCAGCGAACACAGAGCGCACGACUACUACCCCCCCGUCGGCCGUUCCGCCCGCAACGACUACUACACCCCCCCCCGUCGGACCUUCUCGACCGGUCCGCGAAAUAUUGUCUGACAUGAAACUGGUCCGUGAGGUAAAAAAGGUUGGGGACCACUGGGCUAAUCCACAACGUGUAUGUGUUUACAUACCUCCUGGAUCCUGAUUGGUGUCGCUGCUGCAGCCGCAAGGCACUGAUUGGAUGCUCACAGACCGUAAUACAGCGCAGAUGAAAAUGAUUCAGACUACGGCGUUUAAAUGUUCAACAAUAGGAAACGUAGUCUUAGCUGUUUUAAAAUUACACCAAGUUUAUUUCGGUUUAUUCCAACGGAAGAAUACAAGGCGCAGGUAACUUUGAGGUGCGUAAACGCUAUUUCCAAAAUUCCAGAGGUGCGUAAACAGCGUUUACGUGUGUUUACCCUCCACUACAGCCCUGCUUGUAUACAUACAACAUACAAACAACCCAAACUGUUUAAAGACAUCCUUAAAGAAACCCCAGAUAGCAAAAGCAAGCCGCGCCGCUCUGGCGGUAUCAUAAACUCCGGAACUGAUAUGCAAAAAGGAUCCGGGGCGGGCUCAUAAUAAUACAUUUUAUUCAUGACUGAGUAGUAGAAUUUUGUUGUCAAUCCAGAAGGAGACAGGCAGCCAGUGUAGUGAGUGUCCAUCCUACGAUGAGUGCUAUGUGUUCAUAUUUCUGGACUCUCAUCAGGAUCCUGGCAGCGCUAUUUUGGAUGUAUUGUAGUUCCAGGAUAUUUUUGUCAGUGAUUCCAGUUGAAAGUGAAUAACAGUAGUCCAGUCUUGAGGUGAUAAAGGCAUGGACAAGCUUCUCUGUAUCUGACGGGGUCAAAGUGGGGCAGAGUUUGAAGAUGCUUUUGAGAUGAUAGAAUGAUGUUUGCACAGUCAUUUGGAUGGAGG